GGGGGUAUAUCUCAGUGAUAGAGCAUAUGCUUAGCAUGCACAAGGUCCUGGGUUCAAUCCCCAGUACCUCUG
rnacentral:tRNA from 1 species